GACGAACGCUGGCGGCGUGCUUAACACAUGCAAGUCGAACGGAAAGGCCCUGCUUUUGUGGGGUGCUCGAGUGGCGAACGGGUGAGUAACACGUGAGUAACCUGCCCUUGACUUUGGGAUAACUUCAGGAAACUGGGGCUAAUACCGGAUAGGAGCUCCUGCUGCAUGGUGGGGGUUGGAAAGUUUCGGCGGUUGGGGAUGGACUCGCGGCUUAUCAGCUUGUUGGUGGGGUAGUGGCUUACCAAGGCUUUGACGGGUAGCCGGCCUGAGAGGGUGACCGGCCACAUUGGGACUGAGAGACGGCCCAGACGCGUACGGGAGGCAGUAGUGGGGAAUAUUGCACAAUGGGCGGAAGCCGGAUGCAGCAACGCCGCGUGCGGGAUGACGGCCUUCGGGUUGAAAACCGCUUUCGCCUGUGACGAAGCGUGAGUGACGGUAAUGGGUAAAGAAGCACCGGCUAACUACGUG
rnacentral:rRNA from 1 species